GUACCUACUGAACUGGAUUCGGU
rnacentral:miRNA from 1 species